rnacentral:snRNA from 1 species
UCAUCUUUUUGUCGCUAACCGGCAUUCGCAAGUCGCCUUUUACUACCUGCGACCGGUUAUCGGUGAACUAAGGAUUUCUAUCAAUCCACUUUUUGGAACCCACUGACGUUCGGGU